rnacentral:rRNA from 1 species
AUUGAACGCUGGCGGCAGGCCUAACACAUGCAAGUCGAACGAGUGGCGGACGGGUGAGUAAUGUCUGGGAAACUGCCCGAUGGAGGGGGAUAACUACUGGAAACGGUAGCUAAUACCGCAUACCAUCGGAUGUGCCCAGAUGGGAUUAGCUAGUGGGGGGGGUAACGGCUCACCUAGGCGACGAUCCCUAGCUGGUCUGCGAGGGUGACCAGCCACACUGGAACUGAGACACGGUCCAGACUCCUACGGGAGGCAGCAGUGGGGAAUAGUGCACAAUGGGCGAAAGCCUGACGUAGCAAUGCCGCGUGUAUGAAGAAGGCCUUCGGGUUGUAAAGUACUUUCAGCGAGGAGGCGUUACUCGCAGAAGAAGCCCCGGCUAACUCCGUGCCAGCAGCCGCGGUAAUUC